GAUGAACGCUAGCGGCAGGCCUAAUACAUGCAAGUCGAGGGGCAGCGGGAGUAGCAAUACUUGCCGGCGACCGGCGCACGGGUGCGUAACACGUAUGUAAUCUACCCUUUACUGGAGAAUAGCCCGAAGAAAUUCGGCUUAAUGCUCCAUAAUAUCACUGGAAGGCAUCUUCUGGCGAUUAAAGUUCCGACGGUAAAGGAUGAGCAUGCGCGAUAUUAGCUAGUUGGUGAGGUAACGGCUCACCAAGGCGACGAUAUCUAGGGGUACUGAGAGGUUACACCACCACACUGGUACUGAGACACGGACCAGACUCCUACGGGAGGCAGCAGUAAGGAAUAUUGGACAAUGGUCGCAAGACUGAUCCAGCCAUGCCGCGUGCAGGAUGAAUGCCCUAUGGGUUGUAAACUGCUUUUAUACGGGAAUAAACCCGGGUACGUGUACCCGGCUGAAUGUACCGUAAGAAUAAGGGUCGGCUAACUUCGUGCCAGCAGCCGCCGUAAUAC
rnacentral:rRNA from 1 species